CGAUGUUUAUUUAAUUACAGUUAUAAUUAUCAAUUCUAAUUGUUCGAAAUGCUGUAAGGAAGAAUGUUGUGUUUUCGAGUGAGGCCAAAAGCUACUGUUGAAAGUAAAGCCUAACUUAGCCUGGCAAAUUUUAAUAUAAAAAGAGUGUCUUAGCUUUGAAAAAGUGUGUUAGCUUUCGUCGUCUACGACAUCAUCAGAGACAAUGAGAGUCAUUUGUAAAAACAACUAUAAAUACUGUGUCCUAAAUUAGAAUUGCAAAAUAUAUAUGUGCAACUUAUCGCUU